rnacentral:rRNA from 1 species
GAUGAACGCUGGCGGCGUGCUUAACACAUGCAAGUCGAACGGUGAAAGAGAGCUUGCUCUCUGGAUCAGUGGCGAACGGGUGAGUAACACGUGAGCAAUCUGCCCCUGACUCUGGGAUAAGCGCUGGAAACGGCGUCUAAUACCGGAUACGAGCUGCGAAGGCAUCUUCAGCAGCUGGGAAGAACUUCGGUCAGGGAUGAGCUCGCGGCCUAUCAGCUAGUUGGUGAGGUAACGGCUCACCAAGGCGUCGACGGGUAGCCGGCCUGAGAGGGUGACCGGCCACACUGGGACUGAGAGACGGCGCAGACGCCAACGGGAGGCAGCAGUGGGGAAUAUUGCACAAUGGGCGAAAGCGUGAUGCAGCAACGCCGCGUGAGGGACGACGGCCUUCGGGUUGUAAACCUCUUUUAGCAGGGAAGAAGCGAAAGUGACGGUACCUGCAGAAAAAGCACCGGCUAACUACGUG